AGCGUACACGGUGGAUGCCUUGGCAGUCAGAGGCGAUGAAGGACGUGGUAAUCUGCGAAAAGUCUUGGGGAGCCGAUAAACAGGCCCUGAUCCAGGAAUGUCCGAAUGGGGAAACCCACUCACGUAAGUGAGUAUCCUUUACCUGAAUACAUAGGGUUUAGGAGGCGAACCCGGGGAACUGAAACAUCUAAGUACCCGGAGGAAAAGAAAUCAACCGAGAUUCCCCUAGUAGCGGCGAGCGAACGGGGACCAGCCCUUAAGCAAUAUUUGGUUUAGCGGAACACUCUGGAAAGUGUGGCCAUAGUGGGUGAUAGCCCCGUACGCGAAAAGCCAUUUAUUGUGAAAUCGAGUAGGUCGGCACACGUGAAAUGUUGACUGAACAUGGGGGGACCAUCCUCCAAGGCUAAAUACUCCUGACUGACCGAUAGUGAACCAGUACCGUGAGGGAAAGGCGAAAAGAACCCCGUUGAGGGGAGUGAAAUAGAACCUGAAACCGUGUACGUACAAGCAGUGGGAGCAGACUUGUUCUGUGACUGCGUACCUUUUGUAUAAUGGGUCAGCGACUUAUUUUCUGUGGCAAGGUUAACCGAAUAGGGAAGCCGUAGCGAAAGCGAGUCUUAAUAGGGCGUCCAGUCGCAGUGAAUAGACCCGAAACCGGGCGAUCUAUCCAUGAGCAGGUUGAAGAUCAGGUAACACUGAUUGGAGGACCGAACCCACUGUCGUUGAAAAGCCAGGGGAUGACUUGUGGAUAGGAGUGAAAGGCUAAUCAAGCCCGGAGAUAGCUGGUUCUCCUCGAAAGCUAUUUAGGUAGCGCCUCGUGUCUCACCAUCGGGGGUAGAGCACUGUUUGGGCUAGGGGGCCAUCCCGGCUUACCAACCCCAUGCAAACUCCGAAUACCGAUGAGUGCAAUCACGGGAGACACACGGCGGGUGCUAACGUCCGUCGUGGAAAGGGAAACAACCCAGACCGUCAGCUAAGGUCCCAAAGUAAUAGUUAAGUGGGAAACGAUGUGAGAAGGCCCAGACAGCCAGGAGGUUGGCUUAGAAGCAGCCACCCUUUAAAGAAAGCGUAAUAGCUCACUGGUCGAGUCGGCUUGCGCGGAAGAUGUAACGGGGCUCAAACUAUUCACCGAAGCUACGGGUUCAAUACUUUGUAUUGAGCGGUAGAGGAGCGUUCUGUAAGCCGUUGAAGGUCAACCGGGAGGUGGGCUGGAGGUAUCAGAAGUGCGAAUGCUGACAUGAGUAACGAUAAAGGGAGUGAGAUCCUCCCUCGCCGGAAGACCAAGGGUUCCUGCGCAACGCUAAUCGGCGCAGGGUGAGUCGGCCCCUAAGGUGAGGUCGAAAGACGUAAUCGAUGGGAAACAGGUUAAUAUUCCUGUACCCCUUUUGACUGCGAUGGAGUGACGGAGAAGGCUAGGUCAGCCCGGUGAUGGUUAUCCGGGUUUAAGGUCGUAGACAGUGGAAUCAGGCAAAUCCGGUUCCAUAAUGUCGAGAACUGAUGACGAACUGACUACGGUCAGGAAGUGAUUGAUGCCAGGCUUCCAGGAAAAACUUCUAAGCUCUAGGUCAAAAGGGACCGUACCCGAAACCGACACAGGUGGUCAGGUAGAGAAUACCAAGGCGCUUGAGAGAACUUGGGUGAAGGAACUAGGCAAAAUGGCACCGUAACUUCGGGAGAAGGUGCGCCGCUGAUGGUGAUCGGACUUGCUCCGUAAGCUAUCGGCGGUCGAAGAUACCAGGUGGCUGCGACUGUUUAUUAAAAACACAGCACUGUGCUAACACGUAAGUGGACGUAUACGGUGUGACGCCUGCCCGGUGCCGGAAGGUUAAUUGAUGGGGUUAGCUUAGGCGAAGCUCUUGAUCGAAGCCCCGGUAAACGGCGGCCGUAACUAUAACGGUCCUAAGGUAGCGAAAUUCCUUGUCGGGUAAGUUCCGACCUGCACGAAUGGCGUAACGAUGGCCACGCUGUCUCCACCCAAGACUCAGUGAAAUUGAAAUCGCUGUUAAGAUGCAGUGUAUCCGCGGCUAGACGGAAAGACCCCGUGAACCUUUACUACAGCUUCAUAGUGGAUCUUGAUGUUGCUUGUGUAGGAUAGGUGGGAGGCUUUGAAGUGUGAACGCCAGUUUGCAUGGAGCCAACCUUGAAAUACCACCCUGGCAAUAUUGAGGUUCUAACUCAGGUCCCUGAUCGGGAUCGAGGACAUUGUGUGGUGGGUAGUUUGACUGGGGCGGUCUCCUCCCAAAGAGUAACGGAGGAGCACGAAGGUUGGCUAAGCACGGUCGGACAUCGUGCGGUUAGUGUAAUGGUACAAGCCAGCUUGACUGCGAGACGUACAUGUCGAGCAGGUACGAAAGUAGGUCAUAGUGAUCCGGUGGUUCUGAAUGGAAGGGCCAUCGCUCAACGGAUAAAAGGUACUCCGGGGAUAACAGGCUGAUACCGCCCAAGAGUUCACAUCGACGGCGGUGUUUGGCACCUCGAUGUCGGCUCAUCACAUCCUGGGGCUGAAGCCGGUCCCAAGGGUAUGGCUGUUCGCCAUUUAAAGUGGUACGCGAGCUGGGUUUAGAACGUCGUGAGACAGUUCGGUCCCUAUCUGCCGUGGACGUUGGAAGUUUGAGGAGAGCUGCUCCUAGUACGAGAGGACCGGAGUGGACGAACCACUGGUGUUCGGGUUGUGUCGCCAGACGCAUUGCCCGGUAGCUACGUUCGGACGGGAUAACCGCUGAAAGCAUCUAAGCGGGAAGCCCCCUUCAAGAUGAGACUUCCCUGGACCCUGAGGUCCCAUAAGAGACGUUGAAGACUACGACGUUGAUAGGCUGGGUGUGUAAGCGUUGU
rnacentral:rRNA from 1 species